rnacentral:rRNA from 1 species
GAUGAACGCUGACAGAAUGCUUAACACAUGCAAGUCAACUUGAACUUCGGUUUGGGUGGCGGACGGGUGAGUAACGCGUAAAGAACUUGCCUCACAGAUAGGGACAACAUUUGGAAACGAAUGCUAAUACCUGAUAUUAUGAUUAUAUGGCAUCGUAUAAUUAUGAAAGCUAUAUGCGCUGUGAGAGAGCUUUGCGUCCCAUUAGCUAGUUGGAGAGGUAACGGCUCACCAAGGCGAUGAUGGGUAGCCGGCCUGAGAGGGUGAUCGGCCACAAGGGGACUGAGACACGGCCCUUACUCCGACGGGAGGCAGCAGUGGGGAAUAUUGGACAAUGGACCAAGAGUCUGAUCCAGCAAUUCUGUGUGCACGAUGAAGUUUUUCGGAAUGUAAAGUGCUUUCAGUUGGGAAGAAAAAAAUGACGGUACCAACAGAAGAAGUGACGGCUAAAUACGUG